AUUUCUCCCCCUUCUUGCGAAUUCGCCAAAAUAUUCGUCUGGGUUUUCUUCUACCAUCACAAUUCAGAUGGCUACGGCUGAUUUUGAGCGGUUUAUGCAGGUGGUGACCGAUCUCGAAGAGACCGAAGCCCGCAUUACGGUGCUGGAUACCGAGAAUCUAGCUAUAAAGCGGCGCAUCACCAGAGAGCAAGCGUCGCUGAAGACUAACGAGGGUCAACUGGCGGCGGCAAAAGAGAAGGAAAAACUACUCCAGGCGCAGAAGAUUGGCCUCGUAGCCCAGUUAAAAAACCAGACGGUUUUUAUUUCUGAAGCAAGAGAAGUGAUCAUCAUUGAACGGGAGAGGAAUCUUUCACUGCAGCUUAUGACGAAUAAUCAUCAAAUACAUGCAAUGGCGGAGGAGAGGUUACUUCGAGUCCAACUACUCCCCCCCGCUCCCGCUGCCGGUCAAGCUCAGAAUGGAACUCAAGAAAACCCAUGGAUACUUGAUUAAGGAAUAUUCUGUGCAUUUGGGUUGGAUACUGAAGAUUCUUAGAUUCUUUUGUUACAGAAUUUCUUACUAUUGAUAUGGUGAUAGCUGAAAAUUCUUGUAGCGCUGGUUCCAAAUUACUCUUUUUGCGCAUAUUUCCUUGUCAUUAGUAUACUCUUCUUAUUCACUCUGUUUAUAGUUCUUGAAGCGAUGGUGUAUCUUGAAACCAGACUUUUAUGCAUUUGUUGAUCCUUUUGAA